GAUACAUAGAGGCCUCCUUGUUAGGUCUACUAUGGGCAGUAGGUAUGAGAAGGUGAAUGCUUCUCAUACCUGCGAAACU
rfam:Klebsiella pneumoniae subsp. pneumoniae MGH 78578 plasmid pKPN4, complete sequence.